GGAGGGAAUCUGGCACCUUGAGAUGAAUGCAAAACUCCUACUUAAGAGCAUCCGUUAGAACUUAAAAAUAAUUAUCCUAGAUCAUAAUGAUUUAGCUAGAAAUUUGAAUACCUACUUCAAUACAUUAUAUAACUAGCCAAAUGUAGCAGACUUUGCAAAUAAUUCAUUGAUUAAGCUGGUUCAUAACAAAAUGUCACAAUUUUUAACCAUAUAUGCUCCGGCUAACAGACAUGCUAACUCAAGAUUAUAUGGUAUUACAAAUAAAGGGAGAAAAUAUAAUCGUAAAACAAAGAGAGCAUAAGGAUAACAUAUCAGAACAAGCCCUAAAGCUACCACAAGAGAGAGAGAGAGAG
rnacentral:misc_RNA from 1 species